rnacentral:sRNA from 1 species
UGAAAAUAUCUAGUUGGUAAUAAUAAGCUGAUUUAAAAAAACAUGAAUUUCUCAUUGUGGUAUAGAUCUAUAAUACAGGCACUUUAGAGACUGAGGCAAGAGAGUUGACAUGAAUUCAAGUUCACCCUGAGCUACAGAGUAAGACCCUAUCUACACUCUUCCCCGUGCAUCACAGUUUAUAAGUAAUAACUAAAUUCAACUGAAAGCAUGAAAGGUAUGGUAUUAGGUAAAUAAAAUUUUCUAUAUAAAAAUCAGUAACACCAAAGUAAAAGAAUAUUUUGGUUAAAGAACAUACAAAGAAUAUUUAAACUGUUACUUCACAAUUGAUAGGAAUUAAAAAUCUAGCUUUCAAGGCCUAACAUGAAGAAUAAUUGCCUAACAUGUGCAAGGCCCUGUGCUCAAUGUUCAGUAUCACAAAAUACACACACUCUUCCAUGGAUCCUUAUAAAUACGGCUUAAAAAUUUCUGUCCUUUGUUAUACACACAGAGUGUUAUCUUGAUUAUUAUAUAGGCUGAUGUAACUUUGCUCUCUGACUUAGAAAUAAUAAACAGUGUUUAUAGAUAAAAUUAAUUUGUAAAAUUAUGAAUUUUAUGAAUUGUCUCAAAUAUUCACAAUAAUUAAAAAGUUCAUUAUUAUAAAAUAAAAGUGGUAGUAGAAUUUAAUAAAGAAAAAUUGAUUUCAUUUUUCAAGUUUCUCAAGUACUUUUUAGUUAUAGUUUUUGUUAAAACCACAUAGAGGAUUAUAUUUGCCAAAAUAUAAAUGCACAUACAAUUUUUCUCUGCUCCUUGUUACCUGGUCUUUAACACUGGAAACAGCAUCUUUCCUGGAAAGUGUACUGUAGGCCAGAUGCCUUACUGUACUUCUCAGUCACAGCAUAUUAAAUAUCUGUAUGCCCCACUGUACCAUCAAUUUUGUGGACACAAAGAUUGUCUCUUACAACUAUAUUAGUAAUACUGGUUGCAAGAAGAUAUAUCUGAAAGGCUACCAACGAAAGAAGUUUCAUACCAUUGCAGGUGAAUUUAAGGAAUCAGGAAUGCUAGGAUAGUCAGGAACUAUCAAUACUAAGAAGACGAUAGAUAGCUUCAUAACGCCAAAGAGGCAAGGGAAUACUGGUACCUUUAGAUAUGUGUACAGGUUGGAGUAAUGAAAGCAUUUAAAGAAGCUAUAUUCUUAGGUCAUAGCCAUUAUCACGGGAAUGCAUCCAGACAUGGAGUUUGCAGGGGAAGAAAGACCCUGAUGCCUUUCCAUCUGCCUUGCUGCCUCUUGCCAGAGCUUGCCACUGGCUUAAAUUUUACCAAUGGUGAGUGGUUGAAGGGACUCGUUGGCUGGAUUCACUGAGAUCUAGCUGUUUGGGACACAGAGCAAGAAAGGACAAAGGAUUAGUCUCUGGAAAGUGUAAGAAGUCACACAUGCUUCAAACUCAGUUACUCUCGGAUUUCCUGGUUUAACUGGAGGUACCAGAAGAUACUGGGUGAAAGAAUAUGUCUAUGCAUUAAAGUAAAUUAACCCUGAGGCUUAGUUCAGGCCGUGCUUGUCUCCACUAGGAAAGUAAGUCACUUUAACAGGAUGUCUUAUUACUAAAUAUGGGUUUUAAGAGCCUUUUACUAUUUAUAUUCUGUAGCUCAGAGUCGACUUUCGGAAUUCCUAUGAGGAACAUGAAGAACUGAGAGCAUAUGCAAGAGUCGGACCGACUGGCAAUGGUUAGUGUCAACUGGAGCAAGCCACUGGGAGAUGAGGACGAUUACAAAGAUCAUCAAAAUUUUCUGAGAAUUUAGGCUUUGCUCCUUACCUGAUAAGGGAGCAGCAGCAACCAACUGAUGCGGACUGCAGAACUGCCAGCUACACAAAAGACUUGACUAUCAUCUGGGAGUGUCUGGUAGUACCUGCUGUUCCCUCUUCCUCUGUGGGAUGAUGGGUUUGAGUCUUAGGUCCCCAUUUCAGAACUGGCCCCAAGCAUCCAAGACUAGAGUUAAAAUAAGAUCUUGACUUAAGUAGCCAGAGGGUAGAGGAUGUCCUUCCCUGUUAAACUUUACCUGUGGUACAUUGGACAGUAGGCGUCAGGCAUCAAAGACACAGGAUGAUAUUACCCCUUGCUCUUUGAUACUCUCAAACAUACAUAUUUUCCCUUGGGCACAAUCCCCAGGACUGAAUUGGAUGAAUGGAGAAUGAAGAUGGCAAGAAAACUUUAGAUAAACUCACAGCGGGCGAAUCUGUUAUGUUAGUUGGAAGCUGCCAGCUUUAUUUAGGACAGCUUCUUAACCUUUGUAGAUGCUAUCAAGCAAGAGCUGUGAUCUUGUAUAAACCAUUCCAAAACACAGCACUUGGUCCAAAUUGAAAUUUAAUCUCAGGCUCUUUUUUCUUAUUGAGUAGAAUGUACCAAGUUUGUUAAUGUUUUUCUUAGACCCUGUGAUACUGCAAAUUCUUCAGAUUAUAUGUGAUCUAUGUGCCUGGAAGACACAGACCGGUAAACAGUCUUUGAAACAUGUCAUUAACAAGAAAAGAGGAUGAUUUGUCUUCUGAAAACAUUUUCAUUCCAAGAGAAGGUAACAGAAGCCUGGACUUCUUAAGAGGAUACGGGAAGAUAAUUCUAAGGCAACUGCAGCAGGGUAAGAUCGUGAAAUACAAGUUUCACACAGAUUUCAACCCAUUAGGUAGCUUCAGAAAGAGAAUUCAGAUCUAGCGAAGUUGGUGGCUGAGCAAUGAAAUAUGGCUCAGCUAACAUGGUUUCUAAAUUUAAUGAUUUUUAAAAAUCAACUGAAAGUAAGUGGAGUUAGUGAGUUUGUUUAGAUUUUUCAUUGGAAACACAAUGAUAGAUACCUUUUUCUUUCUACUACAAUGAGUAUACCCAAGGCUGGAAAAUACAGCCGAUAAUAUAUCAGAGUGGACUCCAGUUUUUGAGCAAUUUUUGAGACCCCAUCCAAAGGACACAUGGAACAACAGCACAAGAAUAAGUUUUGCACAGACGUGGUACAAUGAGUUGGUGUUGCAAAUAGAUUUCAUUUUUGUUAAAUACUGGUUGGUCACGGCUACCAUAACAGAAUACAGAUUAGUAUAUUUAAACGAUAGAUACUAAUUUGCUCCUGGUGCUGAGGUUAGAAAUUCAAGAUCAAGAGGCUGUGAGGUUUUGUUGUCUCUAAGGCAUGUCUUCCUGCCUUGCAGAUGGUCACUUACCUGUUAUGUCACCCUGUGAAACACCCUUUGGACUGUGCAGUCCUGAUUCCAUUUUCGUGGGUGUUCAAAAGUUAGACAAGAUUAAGACUUACCCACAUGACUUUAUUUAGGCUGAAUAGCUGGUUGAAAGAUUCUGUUCUUAAUUGUGAUCUCAUUCUGUGUGAUUGGAGUCUAGUAUUUUCAAAUGUUAAUUUUAGGAGACUAAUAGAAAGAGCACAUGAUAUCUGAAUUGAGUUGCUUUUAUCUUCCUCUUACCAGUAUAAUCUCCUGUCCACAUUUUGAUAGUUGAGUAACCCCAAAGGCUCUACAGUUUGUGGAGGGACUGCAUCUCAUUUUCUUACAUUAACUCGAUGCCAGUAAAACUAGUGAUGGGAUGCUGUGUCCCAAACAAACAGCACAAAAGUCUUGAUAAUAUAAAAUAGGAUUUGAAGAGCUUUUUCUCAAUUUUAAAUGUCACCACGGAGCAAGUAAUAGAAAUAUUGAACAUAUGACUUUGAAAAGAUUCAUAAUAUUUACUUAAUUGCAUUUUCCUUUUAAGGAGAAAAAUUGGUAUCCAGGUUGUUCUUGGGAACGAAGAAUUAUACAAAUGAUAUUUUAAUCCUAGCACAGCUACUGAUUUGCUAUGUUAUAAACACAUCAUAAUAUAUUUACAAAUCUGCCAGCUAAGUAUAGAAAUUGCAAGAGGAAAAGCACUGGGUUUACGUUAUAAUAGGCUAAAAGAGCAAACAUUACACAUUUAUUUAGAAAUAGCAUGUUUAUUGUUAACUUCCACUAUUAAACUAACCCUCCCAAAUAAAACAUCUCUUAUUGGUGUGUGUGUGUGUGUGUGUGUGUGUGUGUGUGUGUGUGUGUGUGUAAAUGACCAAAGGUGGAUACAAAAGGAGAGCUGAAGCAUGGGCACAGAACCACAGCAACUAAAAUUAAUAUUAGAUAUUAAGAUGGUAAAUAUUUAGACCAUAAAUCUUGGAAUAUCAAGGUUAUCUGAAGGUCAGCUCCGACAUUUGUGCAAAAGGAGUAUGAAAGAGAUCAGUGUUGUUAAUCUUCGUUCCUUACCAAAAAAAUCUCUUUGCAAGAAAGUCAAGUAAUUCGUGAGGAUCUGUUUUUUUUUUUUUCAAUUUUUUUUCUCAACCAGUGUUGAGCAAAAUUAAAGACACUUAAAUCCAGAAAAUACACAGAGUAGCAGCCAAAUUUUAACCCUAUUGCACAACGUGUCAGAGGAACAACAGAAAUAAUUGCUGUCAGUUUGUACUUUUUUGACCAAUAAUUCUCUGCAUUUCCUGCUAGUAACUUGAGUGAUGCAAAUGACCUUAUUUUUACAGCAUGCUUUUAUUAAAUAGUUUAUUAUUUUGGCAGACUAAUAAAGAUUUUGGUAUUUGCUUUUAUUUGCAAUAAUAUUACCACCACAUAAAAAAGGAUUUUAUGUUCUUUUUGAGGAACAAGGAGGAUAAAAGUGGUGAUGGAUGGCACAACUGAGGCAUCAGCAAUGAGCUGGAAAUGAGACACAUAAAUAUGAAAGCAGAGCUAAGAAAAUAGAACUGCACCCUUGGCCUUUCUUAAAAGAACACGCACACUUCAUGGUUCAUUCACACCGUUACAGAAACUCCUUUUGUUUCCAGUGAGUCAGAGACUGCACGCAAAAAUCUGAAAAUGCUAUUUUUGCUCAUUCAAAACUAACGGAUUUCUUCUUUUUCAAUUAGACUUAUUCUGGGAAAAUUCUUCCAAGCUUUAUGAGGAGGUUUUGAUUUGUAAGGAAAAAAAUGGUGGACAUGGUGACUGAAGGGGAAUCAUUUUUUUUAUGAGUAUUUAGUAUGGAUCACAGUAAUGAAAGCUUAAACAUGGUAGAAUCUUUAUACAGUCAAUUGCAAUCACAGAGUAAAAGUUCUAAAUUAGAUGACUGGGCAAACAGUGUGAUAUUAGUAGAUCAUAGUUGGAAGAUAAUACACUAUUUGAUGUAAACUUGGGAGAUUAUAGUGUUAUAUCUUGCCCAUCACUGCAUGGGUUUUAUUUUUAAAAAUGUGAUUGCUUACAUGUAACUUCUGUUUUUUUACUAAUGUCCAUGUAUAAAUUAUGCGUGUCAGAUAUUAGAUUUAUUGUCAGAAGGAUGUGUCUGGUAUUGGUGUUAUCUUUUUCAUCAUUAACUCUUUCCUCUAUUGUACAGCUUAAUUGUUAUCAUAAAUGGAAACAGACUGUACCCAAUAAACUAAAGGAAAAGGCUUGUGACCCUUAACCUUGAGAACUGCUGCUCAGGCUGGAGAGAUGGCUCAGCAGUUAAGAAAACUGGCUGCUCUUCCAGAGGUCCUGAGUUCAAAUCCCAGCAACCACAUGGUGACUCACUACUGUCGUUAAUAGGAUUGGAUCCCCACGUCUAGCAUGCAGCAUUAUUGAUUGAACUCCGAGCCCUGUGCACACCAGCCAAGCACUCUACCUCCGAGGCUGCUUCCGUGGACUCAUAAUUUCUACUUUAGAAACUCUAUUUUUAAAAAUAUUGCUAUUGCUGGCUUAUUAUGAGGAGUGCAACUGAAGAACAGCCAUAAAAGAAAGGGAUGGCCUAUCAAGAUGUCCAAAGGAAAGAAGGCCAAGGGGAAGAAGAUGUUGGCUUCGGCUCCCAACAUCCGGAAGAAACAGGAGGCCACAAAGAAAUGAAGGUGUAAGCUCUCAGCUACUGUUCCGGUGCCAUGACUGUCUGCCUGAUCCCGUGCUUGCUGCCAUGAUUAUAGAUGCCCCCUAAAAGUGAAGGAGCCUAACAUGGAUGUCCAUUGAGAGGUUCUAUCAGCAGCUGAUCGAGACAGAUGCAGAUACAACCAAGCAUUGAGAGAGUUUGGGGACCCCGAUGAAAAUGUUAAGGUAGACUGCUACGUAGGAAAGAGGAAGCCGGGGGGAGUAAGGAAGUAAGUACCAUUUCUUCAUGGUCUCUCUUUACUUCUUGCUUUGAGUUCCUGCCCUGCCUUCUAUGAAUGGUUGUAAUCGCUUAAAGGCUGUAAUCUUUAAGCCUCCAAACCCUUUCACCACCCAGAGAAGCAAGUUUAGACAGUGUUGAAACAUUCAGCCUAAGGAUCUAAAUCUGUGGGACCUUACUUAUAAAUUUCAAAGGUUCAAGGCCUAAGACCUAGUAUUUUGUUUGAGAGCAGAAGGUGGAUAUCUCAUCCCCAAGAAAAUGACUAGCCUUUUUUUUCCCCUGUCUUUUGUUUUGUACUCAAACUCUCAAUGUGCUAGGUAACAUUAAUGGCAAGAACCCAAUUCAAGUACCAAUUUCUCUUGCAAACAUACCCAGAAAAAGGUUUUUCUUUGUUUGUUUGUUUUUUGUCUUGUUUUGUUUUAGUUACCAGAAUCUUCUUUAACCUUGUCAGGCUGGUAUUUGAAUUAACCGUCUCACUGGUAAUCCUGUCCACUUACAUAACUAUUUAGCCAUUCUUUCACCUGUUUCUCUCUCAUAUGUUCCAUUCCAUUUAAUGAUAACAUCUGAUACCCCAAAUAAGUAAACAGUUCAUCCCUUCUUUAGAGUACAUCCCACAUCUUCCUUUUAUCAUAUUUUAUUUUAACCUUUGUAAUAUUCCUGGAGAUGAUCUGUUUCGCUUUAUUCCACAUCUUCCUGAAGCUACCUUACUCUACACUGUGAUCAACAAUUCAUCAUUCAUUUAAUACAUAAUUGUAGUUUUUAUUCUGUAUCAUGCCCUGGGAGAAUAGCAUGAAAACAAUGUUCAACGGGGGAGCCUGUUUUACAGAAAUCAUUUUGAAAUUCUUGAGCCUUUUAGGCCUUAAAGCAUGGUCUGAUAUGAUUUAUUUCCAAAUAAUAAGCAGUUUGAAAAAAAAUCCCUGUGCUUGGUUGAUGCAAUAUGUAUUUUAGUAAUUUACAAUGGAAAUCUUUUGGUUUUCAGAGAUGUAUAGUGAGUGAGUGACUUAUGCUUUGCAAAGAAUUUAUAAUUUAUUCUCUACAUUUGGAAUAUAGCCUAAGGAAAUUCCCUUAACCUCUAUUCUGGUUUCUCAUUUCAAAAGGAAUGGUUAUAUAGGAGGUUACAGGAAGUUCUUUGGUUGCUAUGAACCAAGACUUCUAUGAAUGAAAAUUAAAAUACACAUUUUUGUUUAUUCAUCUUAAAAGCCUUGAGUAUAAAUUAAGUGGCCUAAAUAUAGUGGGGUAUGAUUACUAAUGCAUAUAAAAGUAUAUUUGAAUAUCAUCCUUUAUUCUUUUACAAAUCAAAGGAAAACCAAGCAGGAGACCAAGGCUAAAGCAUUUGACCCUGGUAGUAUAUCAGGGCCACAGAACAACUGGGAACAGACUCUACAUAUUUUUGUCUUGUGGCUUAAAUCAAAGAACAUUGGAAUAUGCUUCUUCUUCAAGGUAGGCUUUGGGGAAAUUAGAGGUGCAGCCUCAGGGAAGGUUCGGCAUCCCAAAAGAAGAGAAGGAACUUCUGGCUUUGAUCCAAGAAGGCAGAAGAGAGGCAAGAGACCCGACUCUCUGGAGUAGAUGUUUGAAACAUCUGCUUUUGCACUUAUCCUUGGGUAGUGUCCAGUACUUGAUGUCUAAAAAGAAAAAAAGCCCAACUUUUAUAUUUUCAUUUGCUAAAUCAUUAAAAUCUGGAAACUACCCUCCCUAAUACCUUUUACUCUGGCACAAUUCCUCCCUUUUGAAAUCCUGGUCCAUUCAACUUU